UGCGUAGGCGGAUCAAUAAGUCAGUGGUGAAAUCUCUCGGCUCAACCGGGAAACUGCCAUUGAUACUGUUGAUCUUGAGUUCGGUUGAGGUAGGCGGGAUGUGUAAUGUAGCGGUGAAAUGCUUAGAUAUUACACAGAACACCAAUUGCGUAGGCAGCUUACUAGACCGACACUGACGCUGAGGCACGAAAGCGUGGGGAGCGAACAGGAUUAGAUACCCUGGUAGUC
rnacentral:rRNA from 1 species